ensembl:lncRNA
CGCGUCUGUCCCGCGGAAUGCGAGGAGCGCGGGGGACGGGGGGCGCUUAAUCGUGGAAGGAAGCGAGGCGGGAGAGGCGCUGAGCCGCAGUCACCGCCAUCUCACCGGUGCCUGAGUGUUUCGAUACGUGUCAGUUCAGUGAGUGGGAAAACGCCGGUCUUGGUCAGCGUCUUCAUCAAUGACCUGGAAUAAGGGGAAAAUUAGUGGCAAGCCAGCAUCUCGGCCAGCACUCGCCAGCCUUCUCUUUACAUGCCUGUACCCUUCAUCCAGACAGACAUCCUGAAAGCGUCUUCAGGAUAUCUUUUCAGUGGAGCUCUGUGAAUUCAGACUGCUCUUCCAAGCAGGCUUUCAGAGCGCAUCUCCACCUCCAGAAAAAGCCACCUUGAAUCUCUUGACUCUUCCUUUGUCAGAUCACUUUGGAUUUCCCAGUUCACAGAAGAGACA